rnacentral:rRNA from 1 species
GACGAACGCUGGCGGCGUGCUUAACACAUGCAAGUCGUACGGUAAGGCCCUUUCGGGGGUACACGAGUGGCGAACGGGUGCGUAACACGUGAGUAACCUGCCCACAACUUUGGGAUAACGCUAGGAAACUGGUGCUAAUACUGGAUAUGUGCCCCUGCUGCAUGGUGGGGGUUGGAAAGCUCCGGCGGUUGUGGAUGGACUCGCGGCCUAUCAGCUUGUUGGUGGGGUAGUGGCCUACCAAGGCGGCGACGGGUAGCCGGCCUGAGAGGGUGACCGGCCACAUUGGGACUGAGAUACGGCCCAGACUCCUACGGGAGGCAGCAGUGGGGAAUAUUGCACAAUGGGCGCAAGCCUGAUGCAGCAACGCCGCGGGCGGGAUGACGGCCUUCGGGUUGUAAACCGCUUUCAGCAGGGACGAAGCUUUUUGUGACGGUACCUGCAGAAGAAGCACCGGCUAACUACGUG